AACGAACGCUGGCGGCAGGCUUAACACAUGCAAGUCGAACGCACCUUUCGGGGUGAUUGGCCGACGGGUGAGUAACGCGUGGGAAUCUACCCUUCUCUACGGGAUAGCUCCGGGAAACUGGAAUUAAUACCGUAUCCGUCCUGAGGGCGAAAGAUUUAUCGGGGAAGGAUGAGCCCGCGUUGGAUUCGCUAGUUGGUGGGGUAAAGGCCUACCAAGGCGACGAUCCAUAGCUGGUCUAAGAGGAUGAUCAGCCACAUUGGGACUGAGACACGGCCCAAACUCCUACGGGAGGCAGCAGUGGGGAAUAUUGGACAAUGGGCGCAAGAAUGAGGCAGCCAGGCUGCGAGAGAGAUGAAGGCCGGAGGGUUGGAAAGCUCUUUAAGCGGGGACGAUAAUGACGGUACCCAAAGAAGAAGCCCCGGCUAACUUCGUG
rnacentral:rRNA from 1 species